GUGAGGAAUUUUCCGCAAUGGGCGAAAGCCUGACGGAGCAAUGCCGCGUGAAGGAUGAAGGCCUAUGGGUUGUAAACUUCUUUUCUCAGAAAAGAAUUAUGACGGUAUCUGAGGAAUAAGCAUCGGCUAACUCUGUGCCAGCAGCCGCGGUAAGACAGAGGAUGCAAGCGUUAUCCGGAAUGAUUGGGCGUAAAGCGUCUGUAGGUUGUUUAAAAAGUAUUCUGUCAAAGAUUAGGGCUUAACCCUAGAUAGGCAGAAUAAACUUGGAAGCUAGAGUUUGGUAGAGGCAGAGGGAAUUCCCGGUGGAGCGGUGAAAUGCGUAGAUAUCGGGAGGAACACCAAAGGCGAAGGCACUCUGCUGGGCCAAUACUAACACUGAGAGACGAAAGCGAGGGGAGCAAAUGGGAUUAGAAACCCGUGUAGUCC
rnacentral:rRNA from 1 species